rnacentral:rRNA from 1 species
GUAGGUGGCAAGCGUUGUCCGGAAUUAUUGGGCGUGAAGCGCGCGCAGGCGGUUCUUUAAGUCUGAUGUGAAAGCCCACGGCUCAACCGUGGAGGGUCAUUGGAAACUGGAGAACUUGAGUACAGAAGAGGAAAGCGGAAUUCCACGUGUAGCGGUGAAAUGCGUAGAGAUGUGGAGGAACACCAGUGGCGAAGGCGGCUUUCUGGUCUGUAACUGACGCUGAGGCGCGAAAGCGUGGGGGAGCAAACAGGAUUAGAUACCCUGGUAGUCCACGCCGUAAACGAUGAGUGCUAAGUGUUAGGGGGUUUCCGCCCUUAGUGCUGCAGCUAACGCAUUAAGCACUCCGCCUGGGAGUACGGCCGCAAGGCUG